rnacentral:rRNA from 1 species
GGGGGAUAACCAUUGGAAACGAUGGCUAAUACCGCAUAACCUCGCAAGAGCAAAGCAGGGGACCUUCGGGCCUUGCGCUACCGGAUAUGCCCAGGUGGGAUUAGCUAGUUGGUGAGGUAAGGGCUCACCAAGGCGACGAUCCCUAGCUGGUCUGAGAGGAUGAUCAGCCACACUGGAACUGAGACACGGUCCAGACUCCUACGGGAGGCAGCAG